AGAAACUCAGGAGUGGCUGGAGGAGACAGACUCGGAAGAGGACAGUGAGGAGGUUGAAGGUGCUGAGGGUGGAGACGAGGAUGAGGACGAAGACAGCGGAGAGGAGAGCGGUGCGGAGGACUGAGAAGAGCCCCCUCCAGGGGCGCCUGGCAAGUGCUGUGCCCACGUCCGCCCAGGACCCAGCCGUGUUGGGUGAAGCUCUCAGGGCCAGCCUGUGCCGUGACACACAGGAGAGAGCUGAAGGUGGGUGGCCCAGGCCAGGGCGUGAACUUUCUCCCAUGAUUUAGUCUUUGAUGCGGCGCUGGGCCAGAAGUUCAACUGAGUGCAGUGCGGGUGGAUUCCCUCAGCAGCCUGUGUGUUGUGUAAAAUAAAUUGGACUUCAAACAAGA